AGAAAUAUGAUGUUCAAGUAAAAGCUGCUAACUUUUUACUUUUAAUGGUUAAACUCCAUUUAUAUUUCUA
rnacentral:tRNA from 1 species